ACGGGGAAGGGAGCAUGGCCUCCCUGAGCCUGUCCUUGACCCUGCAGGAGGUGACCUCUGUGUGGGCCACCUUAGAGAUGGAUCCCCAGGGAGCCCAGGAGAGGCAGCAGCAGCAGGGUGUCGUCCGCUUCCUGGGCACGUUCCUCUAUCACCUGAAGCUGCUGGACAUUGGGAUGGAGGAUGAUCUGGAAGGAAAUCGGGCCAACUUCCAGAAA